UACAGAGGGUGCAAGCGUUGUUCGGAAUUAUUGGGCGUAAAGCGCGUGUAGGCGGCUUUGCAAGUCGGGUGUGAAAGCCCUCAGCUCAACUGAGGAAGUGCGCCCGAAACUGCAGAGCUUGAGUACCGGAGAGGAUGGUGGAAUUCCCCAAGUAGAGGUGAAAUUCGUAGAUAUGGGGAGGAACACCGGUGGCGAAGGCGACGUCCUGGACCGGUAUUGACGCUGAGGCGCGAAAGCCAGGGGAGCAAACGGG
rnacentral:rRNA from 1 species